AAGUCGUAACAAGGUUUCCGUAGGUGAACCUGCGGAAGGAUCAUUAGUGAAUAAACUUGUGUGGGUUGUUGCUGGUCUCCUCGGAGGCAUGUGCACGCCUGCCAUUGUUUCAUUCCCCCUUCCACCUGUGCACUUUCUGUAGACCAGGUUGUCACCGUUCAGGUUGUGCUCUGCACUCCUGUGAUUGAGGAUCUGCCUCUCUGGCUCUCCUUGGAUGGCCUGGUCUAUGUCUUAUCAACUCUUAAUGUAUGAUAUUGAAUGUCAGUCUGGGCUCUUUACAAGGCCCAUAAAUCCUAUACAACUUUCAACAACGGAUCUCUUGGCUCUC
rnacentral:misc_RNA from 1 species